UACUAUGACUAAAAUAAAUAUUUGGAGAAUAAUAUACAUAUUUUGUGCUAUUACAAAUUUACUGGGAAAAAACCCGAAACCCGAGAUUGAAAAACCUGACUUUAUUGGUUUGGUUUGGUUUAUAAAUUUAAAAGCCCGAUACUAUUGAUUUGGUUUGGUAAUUAAAAAAUCUGAACCGACCCGACCUACAUACACCCCUACUUUGAAGAUGUUUGGUGCACCCAUCCUCUCAAAUUCCUGGAUUCGCCUCUGAUCACAUAGCUAGUCUACCUGUGUAAUUCAUUCCGACAUUUAGUAAAAAUCUGCUCUUAUCAAGAUCAAUAAGUUGGACCUACGUCGUAUGUGUUUUGUGAUGCGUUUAGGAAAUAAUAAAGGUCAUUAGGAAAUAAUAAAGGUCAUUAAGUAAUUGAAAAUGAAAAACGGCUUCUAUAGCAAAGUCAGUUUUAUUUCCUCCUUUUCGGAAGAAAACAAUUAAAAGAAUUGCUUAACCAAAUUAAAAAAAAAAAGACUAAAUACUGGAGUUCCUUACAUAUCUUUUUUAACAAUCUUUUAUUUCUUGGUCACGUGCACGGCACACCGAAGUAGGCGUCAGCAUUUUUCCUAUCUUAUUUCCUCGUAAUAGUGACGAGUACUAGAAUCCCAAUACAAAAGGCGGUCCAUUUCGUAAGUGCCUGGUUUUUCCCUGCAAAUGGAUUUUCCUAUAAAAUGGAGUAGUGGACAAAAAGAUUAUGUCUUUUGGGAAGAAACUAUUUUUUCUUCUUCUCCGAAAGUGCUUCUAUUUCUAUUCAAAAGUAUUUUUUUUUUUUAAAAGUUUGGUCAAACAUAUUAACUUUGAAAAAAAAAUGGACUUAAUCUUGGAGAUGCUUAGCCAAACAGGCUAUUAGUUCUAUCUCUCAAAUUUGAAAGUAAUUUUGUAUCUAAUUGUGAAGGAAUAAUAUUUUAAAUUACAGUAUUGAUUAAUUGUUUUACUUUUAGAGAGGAAAAUGUGUAGUUUGAUACUAAUAGUUUUUAAAAAAUUAUAAUUUUUUAAUUAUUUGAAUGUUAAGUAGGAUUGAUUUGUAUCUCACAUUAACUUUAAGACUAUUGCAUUAUUAAUAUAUGUAAAAAGGCUAGAAACUUUAUUUUCUAUAAGUUUCUUUAAUCCUUUUCAAUUUUAUUAAUUUUAAUGUACUUUAUAUAUUUUUUGUGUUAUUAUGCUAUUUUAUUAAUUUAUAAAUUAGAAAAUUUAAAGAUUCAUGGGGCAUGUACCUCGGGCUUUCGCCUCGCUCCAUAUUAAGUAAAACGCUCCGCCUCACGCCCCUGCCCUUUAAAACACUGUUUAGAAUAUGAAACUAUACUGGAAACCAGUCAAUUCUUCUUCCAUUCUUUUUUCUUCCUUUCUUUAGGGUAACAAAAUACAAUCGGAAAAAAAAAAGAGAAAAGAGAAAAAUGUAUAUAUCUUCUGCAAGUCAAAACUACUGAAAAUGAAGAAAUAAGAGAAGUUGAAAAGGUAUUUAUCAAAACAUGCAUACCUUGAGAAUUUGAAGAAGUUUCUCUUCGUCUUUUAGUUCCAUGUUGAUUUUGUUCGAGUAAUUUUCUUCUUCUUUUUGUAGUCUCCCUUUCUUCUUGAGUGGCUUCUAAUCCUACAUGCUCAUCUUCCAUAUCUUUAAUCAGUUUUUUGAAAUACCCAAGAAUUUCAGAGGAGAGUAUUUAGUGGAGGCCUUUCAGAUA
rnacentral:lncRNA from 1 species